rnacentral:rRNA from 1 species
AACGAACGCUGGCGGCGUGCCUAACACAUGCAAGUCGAACGUGAUUGGAAGCUUGCUUCCAUGAAAGUGGCGCACGGGUGAGUAACGCGUAGAUAAUCUACCUGAUGAUCUGGGAUAACACUUCGAAAGGGGUGCUAAUACCGGAUAAGCCCACGAGCUCUUUGGAGCAUGCGGUAAAAGGGGGGGACCUUCGGGCCUUCCGUCAUCAGAUGAGUCUGCGUACCAUUAGCUAGUUGGUAGGGUAAAGGCCUACAAAGGCGACGAUGGUUAGCUGGUCUGAGAGGAUGAUCAGCCAAACUGGAACUGAGACACGGUCCAGACUCCUACGGGAGGCAGCAGUGGGGAAUUUUGCGCAAUGGGGGCAACCCUGACGCAGCAACGCCGCGUGAGUGAUGAAGGCUCUUGGGUCGUAAAGCUCUGACAGAGGGAAAGAAAUGUGGGUGGCUAAUAUCCAUUCCACUUGACGGUACCCUCAAAGGAAGCACCGGCUAACUCCGUGCCAGCCGCCGCAGUAAAAC